rnacentral:rRNA from 1 species
AUACAUGCAAGUCGAGCGAACGGACGAGAAGCUUGCUUCUCUGAUGUUAGCGGCGGACGGGUGAGUAACACGUGGAUAACCUACCUAUAAGACUGGGAUAACUUCGGGAAACCGGAGCUAAUACCGGAUAAUAUUUUGAACCGCAUGGUUCAAAAGUGAAAGACGGUCUUGCUGUCACUUAUAGAUGGAUCCGCGCUGCAUUAGCUAGUUGGUAAGGUAACGGCUUACCAAGGCAACGAUGCAUAGCCGACCUGAGAGGGUGAUCGGCCACACUGGAACUGAGACACGGUCCAGACUCCUACGGGAGGCAGCAGUAGGGAAUCUUCCGCAAUGGGCGAAAGCCUGACGGAGCAACGCCGCGUGAGUGAUGAAGGUCUUCGGAUCGUAAAACUCUGUUAUUAGGGAAGAACAUAUGUGUAAGUAACUGUGCACAUCUUGACGGUACCUAAUCAGAAAGCCACGGCUAACUACGUGCCAGCAGCCGCGGUAAUACGUAGGUGGCAAGCGUUAUCCGGUAUUAUUGGGCGUAAAGCGCGCGUAGGCGGUUUUUUAAGUCUGAUGUGAAAGCCCACGGCUCAACCGUGGAGGGUCAUUGGAAACUGGAAAACUUGAGUGCAGAAGAGGAAAGUGGAAUUCCAUGUGUAGCGGUGAAAUGCGCAGAGAUAUGGAGGAACACCAGUGGCGAAGGCGACUUUCUGGUCUGUAACUGACGCUGAUGUGCGAAAGCGUGGGGAUCAAACAGGAUUAGAUACCCUGGUAGUCCACGCCGUAAACGAUGAGUGCUAAGUGUUAGGGGGUUUCCGCCCCUUAGUGCUG